AACGAACGCUGGCGGCGUGCCUAAUACAUGCAAGUCGAGCGGUAAGGCCCUUCGGGGUACACGAGCGGCGGACGGGUGAGUAGCGCGUAAGAAUGUACCCCAAACUGAGGGAUAAGCACCAGAAAUGGUGUCUAAUACCGCAUGUGCUCUUCGGAGUAAAGCUACGGCGGUUUGGGAACAGCUUGCGUAGGAUUAGCUAGUUGGUAAGGUAAUGGCUUACCAAGGCGACGAUCCUUAGCUGGUCUGAGAGGAUGAUCAGCCACACUGGGACUGAGACACGGCCCAGACUCCUACGGGAGGCAGCAGUAGGGAAUUUUCCACAAUGGGGGCAACCCUGAUGGAGCAACGCCGCGUGAUGGAUGAAGGCCUUCGGGUUGUAAACAUCUUUUCUCUGUGACGAAUAUGACGGUAGCAGAGGAAUAAGGAUCGGCUAACUACGUGCCAGCCGCCGCCGUAAAAC
rnacentral:rRNA from 1 species